CGUUUUAGGCUUUAAUAGUAAUAUGAUUAAUAUCAUAAUUAAAAGAUAAAGUUCGGAAUUGCAUGGCUGUCGUCAGUUCGUGCUGUGAAGUUUAGAAUUAAGUUUUUCUUAACGAAUGUAACCCUAUAAGUAAGUUUCUAUUUUUUAAUAAAUAAUUUUAUAAAAUAUUCUUACUUAUUCUAUAGUCAAUUUUAAAAAAAUCUUUUUUUUUAUUAUUGACUAUAGGGGUUUUAGGCUGAAGUCAAGUCCCUAUGGUCUUUAUACGUUGGGCUACACACGUGUUACAAGGGUAAAAACAAAGAGACGCAAUAGAGUAAUCUGGAGCAAAUCUCUAAAAAUUACCUUAGUUCAGAUUGUUUUAUGAAAUUCUAAAACAUGAAGAUGAAAUCGUUAGUAAUUGUAAAUUAUAAUGUUACAGUGAAAUAAUAGUCAAAUUUUGCACACACCGCCCAUCACGCUCGAAAAGUCGAUAUUAGUGGAAGAUUUUAAAAUUUCUACAUUAUAUUAAAAAUUUAUUUUUAAUUAUUAUUAUUAUUUAAUAGUGUAGUUAAUUAGUAGUAUUUAAUCUAGUAUUGGUGAUUUGAGUGAAGUUGACACAAGGUACUG
rnacentral:rRNA from 1 species